GUAAGUUUAAACCACGCCCAGUCUCUACUGUGAUAGGCCAACAGACGGGUUGGGACAAUGUCUAUCACAGUAAAAGAACACUGUUUACAUACAUCUUGUCAGUUCCCUGUUCUGCCCUGCGUGGUAUUACAGUGAGCCGGUAUAUACGAAAGUUGCAUUUGCCAUUUAUUACUUAGCUAAUAAAAAAUACAUAGUAUACAAUCGGUAACUCAUUGCUAUAUUUAUCCUGAUACCAGAUUCGAAUUUACGCAACUCUAACAAUAGCUAGCCAAAUAUUGCCUGGUGGGCUAGCUAAUUAGGCACAUUGGUUGUCUAGUUGGCUACAUUAGCUAACGUUGCACGGUAUGUCACCGUGGUGUAGUUGGCCUUUCACGACAGGCGGUGACAUUCUAGUGAAUGUGCCUAAUGCUAACUAGCUAACGUUAAAUAUCCCAUAGCUAGCAUGUGGGGUCUGGGGAAAAGUCUGACUACACGAAGAUUGAGCUAACGUUAACUAGCUAGCUAGCUCACAAAGGACUUGUGGGCUCAAUGUUUUUUGUCUUUCAGAUGGGCAGACCAGAAACCCAGUGACAACACGUGGGUCUUAAGCUGCCAUUUUCCAGAAAUAGCCCUGUAUUUACCAGAAAAUGUAGCUCAUCCACCAUGGCAGAAGAGGAAGAUCUAGACUGUUGAUUGGGAUACCAGAACAAACAAUGAGGCAUGAGGAUUGAGUAUUAAGGGACCACUUGUCACAUUGUCCAAGUUCAACAGGAGUGCAUCCCUCAGACCAUCUGGUGGGAAGACAUCAUGUGCCAGUGUGAUCUGAGCGCAAGCGUCCAGACAGGUACAAGCAGGAAUUACUGGGGUCUUCAGCAAGUUAAAUUAUUUUAAAACCACAGAUAUAAAUUCCCACUGUGUCCAUGAUAACCAUAGUGACACUUGACCUCCACCACUAAUGUGGUGCCCCCAAGACUAUCUGGUGAGGCACCCAGGAUCCCAGACCGCAUGACCCAAAGCCCUGACUCCUGCACAUCCAUCCCUAUAGACAUUUUGAAUGACUUGAUGCCCUCCUCUUCGUUAUCUGUGCCCCACUUUACAGACAACACCCCAUCCAACGACUGAUCUGAGGACCCUUUUUAGCAGCGACAUAUCAAUCAUAUAGUGGGAAGGAUCCUAUAAAUCAAGACUCUGUGAAUGCAUACCACACCGAAUAAAUACAUACUGUGCCUUUGAA